CUACGGGAGGCAGCAGUGGGGAAUCUUAGACAAUGGGCGCACGUGAUCUAGCCAUGCCGCGUGAGUGACGAAGGCCUUAGGGUCGUAAAGCUCUUUCGCCAGGGAUGAUAAUGACAGUACCUGGUAAAGAAACCCCGGCUAACUCCGUGCCAGCAGCCGCGGUAAUACGGAGGGGGUUAGCGUUGUUCGGAAUUACUGGCCGUAAAGCGCGCGUAGCGGAUUGGAAAGUUGGGGGUGAAAUCCCGGGGCUCAACCCCGAACUGCCUCCAAAACUAUCAGUCUAGAGUUCGAGAGAGGUGAGUGGAAUUCCAAGUGUAGAGGUGAAAUUCGUAGAUAUUUGGAGGAACACCAGUGGCGAAGGGGCUCACUGGCUCGAUACUGACGCUGAGGUGCGAAAGUGUGGGGAGCAAACAGGAUUAGAUACCCUGGUAGUCCACACCGUAAACGAUGAAUGCCAGACGU
rnacentral:rRNA from 1 species